CCCUUAGAUGUCCUGGGCCGCACGCGUGCUACACUGACGCAUACAGCGAGCACUUUCCAGUUCCGAGAGGCUACUGGUAAUCAUCAAUAUGCGUCGUGAUGGGGAUAGAUCUUUGGAAUUCUGGAUCUUGAACGAGGGAUGCCUAGUAAUCGCAGGUCAUUAGCCUGCGAUGAUUAAGUCCCUGCCCUUUGUACACACCGCCCGUCGCUACUACCGAUUUCGAGUGGUCAGGUGAAUCUUUCGGACUGUGGGCGCCCUUGAGGUGUUCGCGGAAAGUCAGGUAAAUCUUAUCACUUAGAGGAAGUAAAAGUCGUAACA
rnacentral:rRNA from 1 species